UGACUCCGUGGGUUCACCGUCACUUUCCAUUAAUUAAGUUGCAAAUAAUCACCCACCACUGCCAUCCAUAGGUGGAAAAAACGUUUCGCUAAAGAUGUGAAAAAAGACAUUAGGAAAAAUAUUGAAAAGAGAAAGAGCUACCUGACCCAACCCUUCACGACCCUGCCUCCCAAAUCCCAAUCCCAUCUCGACUCCAGCGCGCCGCCACCUCUUAUCCCGUCCCGCCGGCGCUCCGCCUCCCGUCGCCGCACGCCGUCGCCCCUCCCUCGCCGCACCGCCGGACCGCCUACCGUCAUCGCGCGCUGCCAUGGCCUACCCUGCCGCUGCGCCUACCCGUUUCUCCGCUGCCGGGCGGCUGCAGGAGGUGGCCGGCGUCGCCCCGUCAUCAAAUCCCCUAGCCGCUCGAUCUCAUCCGCCGCAUGCUGGCUGCCCAUACAGGAUUGACGCACCCUAUAUCCGGCGACCCGUGGCUACUCCUCCCAGCCCCGGAUCUGCUCUUCCGCCACCUGCGACCCACGGCUUCAAUGAUCCACGACAAGGGAUGAUGACCAACUCGGCUGCCCCCCUUCCCCGUGCAGCUGCCUCUGAGGCUGCAGCAGCCUUCGCACAAGGCCACUACGGUGCCACCUAUGCUGUCCUAAAGUUCCGUCAGAUUCGUCAAUUUCAGUUUCAUCAGUUUUUGUCAGAUUAAGUUUCAUCAGAUUCAGAAAAUUCAGUUUCGUCAAAGUUUUAGUUGUUAGUUAAUUUCUCGCGCACGUUGGCGCUCGGCGCUCGACGUCGUCCACUUCCUCACAUAACUCGAGCCCAAGUGCGUGCAGGUUACACCAGCCUUUGAUUUAUAUAUCUACCGUCCACUGAUCAGUGACAUGAAAAGGUUGGGCGCUCUGAGCUAGAACAUAAGCCGAUUGAUGAGAUGAAUUAAAAUGCUUCUGAUUGGUUAGACCCUCAAUAUUCCAAACUGAAGUCCAAGGAAGAAGGAUCAGGAAUAGCAGAUUUCCAAUGGACGCUGGUGUUGUUGGCUGACAUCUCCGGGGCUGUACAUCAUGAUGGUUACCAAGACACGACAAUGAUCUAAAUGCUCCAGACCUGAAUGAAAUACCAUGACUACAGGCCGUUGCUGAUUUGCGUUCGAAGAGGUGCAGCAACCAGAGAGAAGCAACUGAGGUAACGCCAAUUGAAAAAAAAUACAUGAUGCACUGAUGGAUUAUCAUGUAUAUAAUGCCUGUUAUUGGAAAGAGUGAUGUUUUGCUCUGAACUUGUCGGUGUAAAUUUUUGGCAUUUUCCAUUUCUCUUCAGUGCACUGAAGAAUAGUGAAAUCUUGGCAUCCGAUUCCUUUUGCAGGCCAUGCUUUUAACUCAACCAAAUCUGCAUUGUUAGUUGCUCUUAUAGUCUGUUUGUAGCUAAUUGGGGGACAAACAUGGGCAAUGAGCAGCUUAUUUUGAUGACAGUGCAAUCAAGGACGCACAUGUUCACUGAUGAAUCUACCUCUAUUUUGUACUGUGUAUAUACAUGAAAAUAGUAGCAUCGUCUUUGCAUGGUUCUUUUCUGAAUCAGCAACACUUUAUGAGGGUCUUCAUCUGCAAUGUACAUAGUGAUGCAUAACUAUUGGUUUGAAUUAUUUGGAUGCUUCAGUUGUCAGACAUGUAUGUGCAGAGAGUUGAGGCUUUGAAAUUAGAUAAUAUAUCUAAUGAAUAUGCAUGUUUAUUCAUGGAACUAUGCUCCAUCUGUUUGAUCAAUUUGUUCGAUGCAUAUGCUCAUUCAUGUGUUGUCAUAGUGACUUGCCUGCGCUCACUGUUGAUCGCAAAGAAGUGAGUUGGUCCAGAAAUUGCAGCUGAGAUGGAGCUCGGCAGGAUGGCUAGACAGGCCUAGCUUGGUAUUAGUCUUCUCUAAAAUUUUAUGUAGAAGUUUUUUCCUAGAUCCAAGUACAUUGUAUCAUUAUUUUGCAGGUGUGAUCCACAGAAGAGAUCACAUUUUAUAUGAUUAUAAUUUAUUUACUCAUGUUCCUACUAAAUGUUUUUUUUAGCAAAGUUCAUACUAAAUGUUAAAAGGGUCAAUCCACAAGCUUGUCUGAUCCCCGGUUCAUUUUUGAACUAUGUCCACGUGUUCUAUCAAGGAUCAUUUUGUCGCAUAUGGAAAUGACAAGCAAAUUUUUUACCAGAAUUAUCAUAUUUGUAAGGUCGAUCACCCAUGGGUUCUGCACUUCAAUAGAAAUAAUUUGUAGCCUUGACCUGAUAAGUUAUUGUUGUUGUAUUAUGAAUUAUUCAUAGUACAAGACCAAAUUUAUAGUUUUAGUUUCAUACAAUUUUUUGUUCUUUGAUAAAUGGAGAUUAUGAUUGUCUUCUGUUUGCAUGCCAGAAUUUGGCGGUCAAUUAACAAUUUUUUGGCUUGAUAUUUAUCUGUGUAGAUGCGUGGGUUCAAGGAUAUUCUUUCUCCCGUUGCAACGCCUCCCUGACAUUGGGUGGCAACGUUUCGAUGUUGCCGUGCCGUGCAGUCGGGUGUUUUGGGUUCGUUGUUUUGGUGGACAGGGCAUCUAGCACUUUCUUCGUAGCGAAACAUGGGGGUUGUGCUUGCACAUACAAUUCUUAGAAAAAUUGAGUGCAUGCUAAACUUUUUCUCUCCCGUUGCACGGGCAUAUGGGCUAUUAUUUAUUUAUUUUUUAUUUUUAAUAAUAAAGCACGGAUUAACUUUGUCGGGUUCACCGUCACAAUACGCUUCUUUCUGUAAUUUUACGCUUUCAGUUUAAAUUUAAAACAUAUUUAAGGUGGUA